rnacentral:rRNA from 1 species
UACGGGGGGGGCAAGCGUUGUUCGGAAUUACUGGGCGUAAAGGGCUCGUAGGCGGCCAACUAAGUCAUACGUGAAAUCCCUCGGCUUAACCGGGGAACUGCGUCUGAUACUGGAUGGCUUGAGAUUGGGAGAGGGAUGCGGAAUUCCAGGUGUAGCGGUGAAAUGCGUAGAUAUCUGGAGGAACACCGGUGGCGAAGGCGGCAUCCUGGACCAACACUGACGCUGAGGAGCGAAAGCCAGGGGAGCAAACGGGAUUAGAUACCCCGGUAGUCCUGGCCCUAAACGAUGGGCGCUGGGUAGCGAGCUUACAUGAGCCCGCUGCCGAAGCUAAAGUGGUAAGCGCCCCGCCUGGGGAGUAUGGUCGCAAGGCUGAA